GGGAAUAGCUCAGCUGGUAGAGCACGACCUUGCCAAGGUUGGGGUCGCGAGUUCGAAUCUCGUUUCCC
rnacentral:tRNA from 1 species